UUUCUUGCCGAAUACCUCGAUCGUUGCCUGGCCGGUCCAUCUAGGGUCGGGCCGCUCCCUCUUGUACGCCCGGACACUCCACCUAGCUCCGGCCCACCAGCUCUGCUUUCCACCCGAGCCUGCUCACCGCCGCCCUAGCUUAGUCUCCAAGCCAAUGCUGAUCUCGCGGGCCUCCUCCUUGACCGUCCCACCCAGCUCGCGAGGGUGUCUGCUCCGUCCCUCACUGAGCUCAUGCUGUUUCCUCUGCCUGAAGCACGUUUCUUCGUGCUCACCCCAAGGGUAAUCUUUCCGAUCCAGGGAUUGAACCCCAGUUUCCUGAAUUGAAGGCAGAUUCUGUACCAUUUGAGCCACCAGGGGGACAGUGCCAAUAUGUCGAGAUUUUUCAGCAAAUGCAGGGAACUAAGAGAUCCAGCUGAGGUAACACUCUCUCUGAAAAGCCUCUUCUGGGCUCCAGCUGCCCCUGGGGAUUUCCUUCCUCAUAAAGAAUACUGCUUCACCCUGUGGUAAUUGCCUUUUUAGCUGCCUCUCUUCUCAGCUACACUGUG